rnacentral:rRNA from 1 species
AAGAGGAAAAACUGGGGGCUAGCCAUCCCCGCGCCCCGGCCGAAACCGAGACGCCAAGGAUGACCGCGCAACCGAUGGAAAGUAAGAUUUGUAUUCAACGUCUCCUAAUCGCUGGUCGGCCAUUCGUAAUAUGGUUAAGACUACGACGGUAUCUGAUCGUCUUCGAUCCCCUAACUUUCGUUCUUGAUUAAUGAAAACAUUCUUGGCAGAUGCUUUUGCAGAAGUUUAUCUUUCAUUAAUCCAAAAUU